rfam:Aspergillus ruber CBS 135680 unplaced genomic scaffold scaffold00060, whole genome shotgun sequence.
ACAUACGACCAUAGGGUGUGGAGAACAGGGCUUCCCGUCCGCUCAGCCGUACUUAAGCCACACGCCGGCCGGUUAGUAGUUGGGUGGGUGACCACCAGCGAAUCCCGGCUGUUGUAUGUU